rnacentral:sRNA from 1 species
AAUGUAGAUGAAAAGAGUGAGAUGCGUCAACACACCUCUUUAGUGUAGAGCCGUUUAAGACGCGGUGACCAAUUUUUUA